rnacentral:rRNA from 1 species
UAUUCCCCACUGCUGCCUCCCGUAGAAGUUUGGACCGUGUCUCAGUUCCAAUGUGGCCGAUCACCCUCUCAGGUCGGCUACUGAUCGUCACCUUGGUGAGCCGUUACCUCACCAACUAGUUAAUCAGACGCAGGCCCAUCUCACACCGAUAAAUCUUUGACCGGAUCAACAUGUGUUGUUCCGGUUUCAUGAGGUAUUAUUCAUCGUUUCCAAUGGCUAUCCCUCUGUGUGAGGCAGGUUGCCUACGCGUUACUCACCCGUCCGCCGCUGUCCAUUCUCUAAAUCCUCCGAAGAUUCAUUAAAGAAUUUCUCGCUCGACUUGCAUGUAUUAGGCACGCCGCCAGCGUUCAUCCUGAGCCAAA